rnacentral:rRNA from 1 species
GAUGAACGCUGGCGGCGUGCCUAAUACAUGCAAGUCGAGCGAACAGACGAGGAGCUUGCUCCUCUGACGUUAGCGGCGGACGGGUGAGUAACACGUGGAUAACCUACCUAUAAGACUGGGAUAACUUCGGGAAACCGGAUCUAAUACCGGAUAAUAUAUUGAACCGCAGGGUUCAAUAGUGAAAGACGGUUUUGCUGUCACUUAUAGAUGGAUCCGCGCCGGAUUAGCUAGUUGGUAAGGUAACGGCUUACCAAGGCAACGAUGCGUAGCCGACCUGAGAGGGUGAUCAGCCACACUGGAACUGAGACACGGUCCAGACUCCUACGGGAGGAAGCAGUAGGGAAUCUUGGGCAAUGGGCGAAAGCUUGACGGAGCAACGCCGCGUGGGUGAAGAAGGUCUUCGGAUCGUAAAACUCUGUUAUUGGGGAAGAACAAAUGUGUAAGUAAAUCUGCACGUCUUGACGGUACCUAAUCAGAAAGCAACGGCUAACUACGUG